GGAGAUUGAGAAGGUUUAUUACCAAUGCUUUUACCACCACCACCACCAUGUGGAUGGUCACAUGGAUUCAUAGCUGUACCUCGAACCGUAGGACGAAUGCCAAGCCAACGUGAACGACCGGCUUUACCAAGCUGGCGAUGUUGCCAAUAAAUAUUGCUUACAACACCAAUGGUAGCAAAUGAUGUAUCCAAAAUCUUUCUCUCUUCACCACUUUGUAGACGAACGAUAGCAUAUUUACCAUCAAAAGCUAUGAUACGAGCGCUACUGCCAGCAGAACGACAUAGCUUUGCCUUUUGAUUUGGAUUUACACCAAUGGCA